UACAGAGGGUGCGAGCGUUAAUCGGAAUUACUGGGCGUAAAGCGCACGUAGGUGGCGACGUAAGUCGGGUGUGAAAGCCCCGGGCUCAACCUGGGAAUUGCAUUCGAGACUGCAUUGCUGGAGUACGGAAGAGGAGGGCGGAAUUCCCGGUGUAGCGGUGAAAUGCGUAGAUAUCGGGAGGAGCAUCAGUGGCGAAGGCGGCCCUCUGGUCCAGUACUGACACUCAAGUGCGAAAGCGUGGGGAGCAAACAGG
rnacentral:rRNA from 1 species